rnacentral:misc_RNA from 1 species
GAAGAAUUUAUGGGAAAUUGGUGAGUUCUUUGGAAACAUACAGGCUUUGUGAAGAUCAAAAUUGCACUUUUCACAUCGGUAUCGAGGCCCAAAGCCUAUUUCCAUGCAGCCAUCGCAGGUGUAAGGUUUCAGGUACUUCUUCAGCUCCAGUUCAUGUUUCGGGUGGCUUGGAUUACGCAACUGCAUCGCCAUUUCUCUGUGUUGCCUUGAAGCGAAAAAAACAACACCAACGGACA